rnacentral:rRNA from 1 species
UGGGGAUUAUUGGACAAUGGGGGGAACCCUGAUCCAGCCAUGCCGCGUGUGUGAAGAAGGCCUUAUGGUUGUAAAGCACUUUAAGCGAGGAGGAGGCUCUCUUGGUUAAUACCCAAGAUGAGUGGACGUUACUCGCAGAAUAAGCACCGGCUAACUCUGUGCCAGCAGCCGCGGUAAUACAGAGGGUGCGAGCGUUAAUCGGAUUUACUGGGCGUAAAGCGUGCGUAGGCGGCUUUUUAAGUCGGAUGUGAAAUCCCCGAGCUUAACUUGGGAAUUGCAUUCGAUACUGGGAAGCUAGAGUAUGGGAGAGGAUGGUAGAAUUCCAGGUGUAGCGGUGAAAUGCGUAGAGAUCUGGAGGAAUACCGAUGGCGAAGGCAGCCAUCUGGCCUAAUACUGACGCUGAGGUACGAAAGCAUGGGGAGCAAACAGG